GGGCCCGUAGCUCAGCCUGGUUAGAGCGGCGGACAGUCAACCCGUAGGUCCCGGGUUCAAAUCCCGGCGGGCCCGCCA
rnacentral:tRNA from 1 species